rnacentral:rRNA from 1 species
AGUCGAGCGGUACAGGCCUUCGGGUGCUGACGAGCGGCGGACGGGUGAGUAAUGCUUGGGAACUUGCCUUUCGGAGGGGGAUAACCAUUGGAAACGAUGGCUAAUACCGCAUAACGUCUACGGACCAAAGUGGGGGAUCUUCGGACCUCACACCGAGAGAUAGGCCCAAGUGAGAUUAGCUAGUUGGUGGGGUAAAGGCUCACCAAGGCGACGAUCUCUAGCUGUUCUGAGAGGAUGAUCAGCCACACUGGGACUGAGACACGGCCCAGACUCCUACGGGAGGCAGCAGUGGGGAAUAUUGCACAAUGGGGGAAACCCUGAUGCAGCCAUGCCGCGUGUGUGAAGAAGGCCUUCGGGUUGUAAAGCACUUUCAGUGGUGAGGAAGGCUAUCGUGUUAAUAGCACGGUAGAUUGACGUUAGCCACAGAAGAAGCACCGGCUAACUCCGUGCCAGCAGCCGCGGUAAUACGGAGGGUGCGAGCGUUAAUCGGAAUUACUGGGCGUAAAGCGUACGUAGGCGGCUCAUUAAGCAAGAUGUGAAAGCCCCGGGCUCAACCUGGGAAUGGCAUUUUGAACUGGUGAGCUCGAGUUUUGAAGAGGGUGGUAGAAUUUCCAGUGUAGCGGUGAAAUGCGUAGAUAUUGGAAGGAAUACCAGUGGCGAAGGCGGCCACCUGGUCAAGAACUGACGCUGAGGUACGAAAGCGUGGGGAGCAAACAGGAUUAGAUACCCUGGUAGUCCACGCCGUANACGAUGUCAACUAGUUGUUCGUUUCAUAAACGAAGUGAGUAACGCAGCUAACGCACUAAGUUGACCGCCUGGGGAGUACGGCCGC